GGUUUCGUUCUUAUAUUUCAGCGUAUAAACUACAGAAAACAUUCGUUUGCAUUAUACAUUCGCCAUUUUACGCAGCGACUGGUCGGUUGUUGUGUGUUAUCUCUCCGGGCAAAAAAAAAAAAAAAAAACACGUCUUUGCAAUUAUAUUUCUUCGUGAGCUCUCUCUUCCCUUCCUAUCAUCAACAUGGGCAAAACGAAGACAGCUGUGCAGAGUGAGGAAAGGCGGUAUUCCAAGCGGCUGGCUGCUGUGAAACCAACCAGAGCAGUGGAGACUAAGAAAAAAGCUCCUGUAAAAAAGGUGCUCAAAGCAAAGAAGGCCAAACAAGCCGAAAAUGGAAACCCCAAGACUGAGGAGCCAAAGGCCGAAGCUGCUGAAGCCAAAUGAAUAACAGUUGAAGUGCUCACUCUGUGUACUUGGUGAUUGUACAGUUUUAAAUUAGUAUUUUUUACCAAGUUUUAUAUUACAAAUGUCAUUUAUGUUUGUUUUUGGCUUGCACUUGUAACAAAAGUUUGUUGUCACAUUCAUAUCCAUUUUAUAUCGAUUUUUAAAAUGAUUACCGUCCAUAUCUCUUAGACGUGGCAUUUUAAGUUUGUCUAAUCGUUUUUUUGUUUUUUUAACUGCUGAAUAAUAGAUAUUUUCCACCAAGUUGGAAUAUGAAUCUAAUUUUAAACAUUAUGAGGCAGCUAAAGCAUAUUGUUAAAAUCUGAGGGAAAAUAGGAAUUUUACCUUUUUUAAUCUCAUGUUCUAAUGUAAACUAAUAAGAAAUUGCUUACCAAAUGUUUUGAAACACUGCAUGUUAAAACAUGUUGCAGUCAGUGAAAAUACCACACAAAAAUACAGUUAUGUCAAAAAGACUGAGACCUCCCAAAAACAUGUAUGAUGUGAACCUGGUCAUCUGAUGAUAAGUCCUGUUAAGUUAUGUUUCUCCUGGCUGAACUUUUCUGACUUUAAUGGCUGAUCUAAAUGUUGUUGAAUAAAAAAAAUUGUCAAAAUGUU